GGAAGUUGACCCAGCCGGGACGGGAAUGGUUUGCUAAACCAUUGGUAGAUAAAACUCCAAACAGGUUCGAUUCCUGUAGCUUCCG
rnacentral:tRNA from 1 species